rnacentral:rRNA from 1 species
GACGAACGCUGGCGGCGUGGAUUAGGCAUGCAAGUCGAACGGUAUCAUCCUUUCGGGGGUGAGAGAGUGGCGAACUGGUGAGUAACACGUAGGUUAUCUACCCUCAAGACGGGGACAACCCAGGGAAACUUGGGCUAAUACCGGAUGUGAGCAACUUUUAGUUGUUUGAAAGGUGGCGUAAGCUGUCGCUUGGGGAUGAGCCUGCGUCCUAUUAGUUAGUUGGUGAGGUAACGGCUCACCUAGGCAAUGAUGGGUAGGCGGCCUUAACGGGUGGUCGCCCACACUGGGAUUGAGAUACGGCCCAGACUCCUACGGGAGGCAGCAGUCGAGAAUAGUCUACAAUGGUCGGAAGACUGAUAGUGCGACGCCGCGUGAACGAUGAAUCCCUUCGGGGUGUAAAGUUCUUUUAUAUGUGAGCAGUGCUUCUUAUAUUAACAGUAUGGGGAGAGAGAUAUUAGCAUAUGAAUAAGCAACGGCUAACUCCGUGCCAGCAGCCGCGGUAAACUCG